ACAGGUGGACAAAAUUGUAGAAAUAAGAAAUGGUAAAUGUGAUUGGUGGGACCCACGGCUAGGAUUCCUGUUGGCAAAUUUCCUUUGAUUUUGACUGAUCAUGUGGGCUGUGAUGUGUUUGGACUGAUACUUGCAUUCUGUCGGUGCAUUUUUUUUUUCCGAUUUAUGUACCUAACUUGUGAGUUUAGUAAGAAACUUGAUAAAGGAAUUAGAGGAAGGCAGAGAGAGAAAAUUAAGGCCACACACACACUUUAUCUCUUUCGGCUUGGACAUUCUCUCUCCCUCUUUCUGUAUGUAUAUAUAUAUAUAUAUAUAUAUAUAUAUAUAUAUAUAUAUAUAUUUUAUUUCCUUCAAAGCUUCAAGCUUUGAUUUCUCCCUCAUUUUUGAGAGAUUGUUGGAGCCGUUUGCGGCAAAUUGGAGGGCUCGUUGAAAUCUACACAUUGAUGUAAGCGAUUUUCCAUUUGGCCAACCUUAGGAUUUCGAGUUUUAAGACCCAUUUUGAGUGUUUUUCUACAAUUUGAGGAUACGGAAAGGAAGUGGCGGACGACGCUCCUCCACAGGGUUCGAUGGGAUACGGAAAGGAAGUGGCGGACAACGCUCCUCCACAGGGUUCUAUAGGAUACAGGAAAAAGUGGCGGACGACACUCCUCCACAGGUUUUGAUAGGAGCAUUGAGCUAGGAAUCAAGCAAAGGAGCCAUCAAGUAAAGGAGCUAAGCAAGCAAGGAAAAGUGCUAAAUUUUUUUAAAAAUUUGCUAAGCUAAGCUUUAAAUUUGGAGUUGAAGUACUAAAGGACCUUUACCAUGACUAAGAAUGACAGUUCUUUUACUUCAGCCACACCUGAGGCUCAUGAUCAGAUAUGUCGCUUAGAGGAGCACCUUCAGAGUUUGGAGGAUAUGCUGGUUGCCCUUAGAGCUGACAUUGCCACCCUUCGUCUGAAUAUGAUGGCUGCCAUUAAAACUGACAUUGCUCGCCUCCGUACGGAGAUCUUGACUGCCAUUGAUGACUUAGCCAGGGAGAUCCGCGGAGUUCCUUCUGCCUGAGACUCCCAGUCUCUUUAUCUUUUUAUGUUCUCUAUCUAUGUUAUGUGUCUGCUACACUUGUGACACUAUUAUUUUUGUAACCGGGUCUGUCGGCUUUUACACUGGAUGUAUUGCGCUUUAUUGUUAUUUUUAUCUAUAAUGGAUGUCAUAUGCUUUUAUUGAUACA